rnacentral:rRNA from 1 species
UACGUAGGGUGCAAGCGUUAAUCGGAAUUACUGGGCGUAAAGCGUGCGCAGGCGGUUUUGGAAGUUUGUCGUGAAAGCCCCGGGCUCAACCUGGGAAUUGCGAUGAAGACUGCAAGGCUUGAAUCUGGCAGAGGGGGGUAGAAUUCCACGUGUAGCAGUGAAAUGCGUAGAGAUGUGGAGGAACACCGAUGGCGAAGGCAGCCCCCUGGGUCAAGAUUGACGCUCAUGCACGAAAGCGUGGGGAGCAAACAGG